rnacentral:rRNA from 1 species
CCUAAGGUAGCGAAAUUCCUUGUCGGGUAAGUUCCGACCUGCACGAAUGGCAUAAUGAUGGCCAGGCUGUCUCCACCCGAGACUCAGUGAAAUUGAAAUCGCCGUGAAGAUGCGGUGUACCCGCGGCUAGACGGAAAGACCCCGUGAACCUUUACUAUAGCUUGACACUGAACAUUGAAUUUUGAUGUGUAGGAUAGGUGGGAGACUUAGAAGUAGUCACGCCAGUGAUUAUGGAGUCGUCCUUGAAAUACCACCCUUUAACGUUUGAUGUUCUAACGAAGAUUACGAAACGUGGUCUCGGACAGUGUCUGGUGGGUAGUUUGACUGGGGCGGUCUCCUCCCAAAGAGUAACGGAGGAGCACGAAGGUUUGCUAAUGACGGUCGGACAUCGUCAGGUUAGUGCAAUGGUAUAAGCAAGCUUAACUGCGAGACAGACAAGUCGAGCAGGUACGAAAGUAGGUCAUAGUGAUCCGGUGGUUCUGAAUGGAAGGGCCAUCGCUCAACGGAUAAAAGGUACUCCGGGGAUAACAGGCUGAUACCGCCCAAGAGUUCAUAUCGACGGCGGUGUUUGGCACCUCGAUGUCGGCUCAUCACAUCCUGGGGCUGAAGUAGGUCCCAAGGGUAUGGCUGUUCGCCAUUUAAAGUGGUACGCGAGCUGGGUUUAGAACGUCGUGAGACAGUUCGGUCCCUAUCUGCCGUGGGCGUUGGAGAAUUGAUUGGGGCUGCUCCUAGUACGAGAGGACCGGAGUGGACGCACCACUGGUGUUCCGGUUGUGUCGCCAGACGCAUUGCCGGGUAGCUAAGUGCGGAAGAGAUAAGUGCUGAAAGCAUCUAAGCACGAAACUUGCCAAGAGAUGAGUUCUCCCUGUUUUUAAGACAGUAAGGGUUGUUUAAGACUAAGACGUAGAUAGGUCUGGUGUGUAAGCGGUGCGAGCCGUUGAGCUAACAGAUACUAAUUGCCCGAGAGGCUUAACUAU